rnacentral:rRNA from 1 species
UACGUAGGGUGCAAGCGUUAAUCGGAAUUACUGGGCGUAAAGCGUGCGCAGGCGGUUUUGUAAGUCUGUCGUGAAAGCCCCGGGCUCAACCUGGGAAUUGCGAUGGAGACUGCAAGGCUUGAAUCUGGCAGAGGGGGUAGAAUUCCGACGUGUAGCAGUGAAAUGCGUAGAGAUGUGGAGGAACACCGAUGGCGAAGGCAGCCCCCUGGGUCAAGAUUGACGCUCAUGCACGAAAGCGUGGGGAGCAACAGG